AGACAAACAGGAAAGAAGAAUGAGGACUGAGGCGGCAGGCAUGUGAGGUGAAGCAGGAAGUAGGUCUGGGUCACGUGUGUGUGUUUUAGUUUUUGCUUUUUAAUUUUUAUUUUAUUUUAUUUUUUAUUUGGGUUAAAUGCAUUUGCUUAAUAGGUUGAUUGGGUUUUUUUUUUUUUUUAAAUUCAUUGUGACAUUUAGAAGAAGAAGAAGUAAUAUUAACAAUAUCAUACAAGUAUUUUAAAAAAUUGAUGCCCUUCAAUCACUUUUUUAGCUCCUGCAACCAAUGC
rnacentral:lncRNA from 1 species